rnacentral:lncRNA from 1 species
AAAAAUAUAUAUACUUUAUUUAAAGCAGCAGAAAAAAAAAAAAAAAAAAAAAAUAUAUAUAUAUAUACACACGCAAAGCGAGAGAGAAAUUUACAACAAAACUACGGCUAAAAAUACAACGCCAGCUUUGCUUGAUCAUUCCAACAAGGUACAAAUAUGGCGAUCCGAAGGAAAAUGGAGCAUCAACGGUCGGUUUCUGUUUGAUAUAUUAUCGUUAAAUUGUAUCUUUAAAACAGCCUGUAUUGUUUUUUACAAUAGUAUUUCAAUAAUAUUUAUUUUCACUGAUUUAAUGUGUCCUUUCAGUUUAAAGACUUCAUUUUGUGAUAAGAUUUGCUGAUGCUUCUAACAGGGUUACGAGCCACGUAGCUUGUGUAUAUACAAGUUAUUAUUAUGUAAACAGUAUUUACGACCACGUUACCCAGCAGUCUUUUUCUUCUGAAACACCAGUGCGACAACGAAAAUGAAACCGACAAUAAUGAGGACUAUGCAAAAAUUUCUUGGCUAUUCUGAAUGACUGAAAUUAAUAAGUAAAUGAUUAAACUCUUCUCGGGACAUAGAUUUGUCUUCUGAAAACUUUCAAACAAUAUUUUUACGAAAUAGUCGUUAAUUUGCAAUACUUUCAUGUGUUUUACUGUUUCUUUUUAUGAGGACAUGUCCUUUUUCAAGACGAUAUGUUUUAAGAAACGAAGCAUGUAAUCUAUAAAUAACAUUCUCUCUUAAUAAUAAUUCACUUUUAGCCUGUCCCCUUGUCCCACUUUUAACUAUUUGCUAAUUUAUUUCGGUCAUUCAAAAUAGCCAAGUUAUUCUUAUACAUUUCUCAUUAUUAUUGGUUUCAUUGUUUAUUGUAGGACCUUUUAUAUUCAUUUUUUUAAUGCAAUAAGAUGUCAUUUGAAGUGUGAGUAGGUUCUUUUUGUUGCUGAUGCUUGUGCAGCCAGUCAUUGUUGAUAAGACUAAGGAACAGUAACAACAUGAGAAAAGAAGAGAUUAGUGACAGAAAGUGAAAGAGAAAGAAACAACAUUCAAUAGGAUUCUGCUUGACUGGAUAUCGUGGAAUACAAUAGUACCUAUACACACACGCACACAAGUGUGUAUGUAUGCAUGUGUGGUGGUAGCCGAUUUCCUAUCGAGUCAAGCUAUUUCCGAUACUGAUUCUGUCCUGAUAUAGUGUUACAGUUUAAUUGGCGGACCUGGUGCACAGUUACCCACCCUCGAAACUGACUUCUCCGUUUUUUUUUUCCACUGGAUUCCUAUGUAUUCGGUGACGGAGACUCCGAAUAUGUAAAAAAACCACGUUUUCAAAAUUCCCCCCCCCCCCCAAUUUAAAACUGUUUUCGAAUUUUUUUUUCAAAGUUUGUGGAAAAUACGGAGAAUAAGAAUAUGGGGGAAAAAACAAAUUUUAAUUUCAAAUUUUUUAUGAAAAUAUGAUCCACACCCCUUCACCACCUCAUCUCGCUGUGUAAAAGUGAAAAAUGAAUGACUGUUUUGUCCGUUCCUACAUGCGUCAAUUUAUAGUGUAACAACAAAAGGAUCACGGCAUGUGAAUCCCUCACCACAAAACUUGACAUGCUAAAAAUAAUAGCUAAUUGUCUGGAGAAUUUUCGUGUUUGUGUGUGCGCGCGUGCAACAAUUUCUAUAGCUUAUCUGAAUGUACAGAGAAAAAAGUACGCAGAAAUACAUUUUACAUACCUGUCGUAUACGUCGGUUUUGUUUUGUCGCUGAUUGAAGCAAUUAAUUACCUUGCUGGAAAAUGGAAAAUCCUUCAGCCUUUUAUAUCGGUUUGUAUUUAUUAAUAUAUGGAUUUUUGCGUAUUUUGGGUUAGCCGUAGAAGAGACUUGGUUUGUAUUUAAAAUCGGAUAGAUAAUCAAUUUCUUUUUUAGUGAGGCCUUUUACAUCUAUUUAAAGUAAAGAGAAUAAAUUUUUUAACGUUGGUAAAGUUUCGUAGAAUUUAUCAAGCCUAUGCAUUAAUGCCCCGACACCGACAUCAAACUAAAACCCAUCAUUGCUGGCUCAGCUUGUGUAACUCGUUUGAGCAAUUUCUUUGACAACUUACUCAAACCAUUUAAAAAAUAUGUUAACAGCUUUAUUAGGGCUGAUUUAGACAUGCUUAGCCACCUCCCGAAAACAAUAAAUGAAGGAACCCUGUUAGUAUCAUUCAAUAUGGUGAACUUGUACACCAAUAUUCCACACAAUUAUAGUAUAAAAGCAAUCACCUUCUGGCUAGAAAAAUACCUAGAAGAGAUCUCAGGAUGCAUCAACCACAGUUUCAAAAUUACAGCACUGAAAUUUAUCCUCCUGAACAACUAUUUCAUGUUUGAUAUAGUUUACUAUCAAUAAAAAUGUGGAAUUGCAAUGGGAACUUGAGCUGCUCCAGUGACUGUGAACCUUGUAAUGGGUUAUCUAGAACUUAAAAUAUACCAAUUAUCACAACAAAAAUAUGGUACCUCAUUUCAUUGUUAUUAAAAAAAGAACCGUAAAAAGAUGAUUGCUUGGACAAAAGAUGAUAGCAUGGACAAACUCUUUGAUUUCAAAAUAAUGCUCAACAAUAUCAAUAGCAACAUACAAUUCACCAUGGAACACAGUAAUAAACAACUUCCCUUUCUUGACAUCCUAAUUAAAAUUGUCAAUAACCACACCAAAACAGACAUUAUAAACUCACAGAUUCAAAACAAUACCUAUUAUUCAACUCAUGCCACCCCAAACACAUAAAAAUUAAUAUACCUAAUAUAUCUAGCGAAAAGAAUCUGUACCAUAGUUUUUUCGGAUAUCAAUACCUGUGAACUAAGACUCUGUGAACUUAAAUCAACACUAAUCAGGAGACAUUACACAACAUCAUUAAUAGAUGAUGGGAUUAAAUGAGCAAAGGAAAUAGACAUACAAACAUUAAGGCAAGUUAUCCGAAAUACCGCACAAGAUUUAAAAGAACUCCCAUACAUCUCUACACAAAACCCAAGAAACAAUGAGGCAUUCAACAUCAUCCAAAAUCUACUCAUUCUCACUGGAGAUAGAACACUGAAUGAAAUUUUAGGCUCACCCAAAAUUAUCAAAAGCAAAAUGCAACUGAAAUCAUUGAAAAAAAUAUUAACUAGUGGAAGACUAUAUAUAUCCUUUAAGAACAGAACCAAAAGUGAAAAAAUGCGGGCAGCCUAACCAUGGCACAUGUCCCCACCUUUUGGAGGGUACAGAAUUUCAGAAAUAUUUAGGAUAAAAUCAAAUUUCACUUGUGCCUCUGAAAAUUUAUUACCUGCUUAGUUUGUGGAAACCACUACAUAGGCCAAACAGAAAUGUCUUUCAGACGAAGAACAGCACUUCACAAAGAACAAAUCUGCUUCCCACAAUAUAGACAGAUACAGGUCAGUGAGCAUAUAGAUAUAUUGUGCUAGGAAACUUAAACCAAACUUCUUAAUUUUCCCUCUUUUUCAAUGUUCCCAAAACACCUAAGUGCAGCAAAGAUUAUAUAAAGAGGCAACUUUCUUUAACAAAUAUCAACCACAACUUAACAUGAACACACAACUUAAUACAGGAGACUACUAACCUUACUAAUACCAAUAAUCCCACUAAUCCUCAUACAUCCCAUAUACCAUUCAUAUUCUAGUAAUCAUAUUUACCUUAAAUGCAUCACUUUCAGAACUGCUUACCACCCUUGCAUGCAAUCUUUUCCCUCAUGUACUAUUAGAUCCAACACCGUUUGGAAAUUAGUGUUGAUUCAAAGUCAGUAAUAAGCUCUGAAGAAACCGGUAUGACUUUGAUUUUCUAUACUGACUCAUAAUAAUGAUUUUUAUACUUCUUAACUCCACCCCAAAUCAUUUAUUUGUAUAUAUCUUUCAUCAUCAUCAUCAUCGUUUAACGUCCGCUUUCCAUGCUAGCAUAAAAAAGCCAUUACUUUUAUACUUAAUGUGCAUUUUUGUUUUUUUUUACUUUCCCCUUAUAUAUAUAUAUAUAUAUAUAUAUAUAUAUAAACAAACAGGGUAGUGCAAAAGUGAAUAUACAGUUAUGAAGACAGAAAGCAUGUGCAAAACUCAUUUUUAUCAAAAGAAUUAAAACUUGUGACAAAAGUGUUAUAAUUAUGAUAAAUGUAUUAUUAUGGUUAAUGACACUGAAAAUAUCAAUAUAAUAAUUAUAAUGUGCUAAUAAUUUUAAUGAAUUAAGUAUUAUAACAUUGAUGUGAUACUUACUGUAUACCUACUUUUGCACUCCCUGUUUAUAUAUGUGUGUGUGUGUGAGCGUAAGAAGGUUGAAUUAGAUUUGUCCUUUAAUUUGGAGGUUUCUAAAAAGAAUUUUUCUAAUAUAGAUUCUUCAUAUUUUGCUGGUAGCUUACUGGUGCAAAAUUGCGAAUAUGAAAAUAAUACUUGUAUAUGUGUGCUGUGAAUUUAUGGAAAGAAAUCCCAUAAAGCUCAACAAUUUUGAUAAAAAUGGAGAAGAAAAGGUGUUCACACCUUCUUUUCUCCAUUUUUAUUAAAAUUGUUGAGUUUUAUGGGAUUUCUUUCCACAAAUUCACAAUGCACCAUAUGUAUAUACAUAUGUGUCCAUGAGUUGAGCGGUGAUGAGCAAGCAAACCAGCAGAGAGUGUGGCUCGUUGAUUUUUGUUGUCAAUUAAAGCAUGCGGAACUCAUGCUCCAUACUUCUGAACCUUUCCCAUCGAGUGAAGAUGCUUCUCUAUAGCAGUGUGGGAGCAUUCUAUUUUCUCUGCUAGUUCCCUUGUUUGAUGAGAAUUUUCAUGCAAAAGUUGGUUUAAUUGCUCUUCAUCGAACUCAACUGGACAGCCAGAACAAGGUGCAUCUUUGAGGUCACAAUUUCCAUUUUUGAACUUGGCAUACCAAUCACGAGCGGUUCUUUCAGCUAUGGCACUCUUUCCAUACACAGCACAAAUGUCGCGAGCAGCUUUUGCGGCCUUAGAACCUUGAUUAAAAGUAAAAAGGAGGUGUCGAAAGUGCUCGUUUUUUUUAACUUGACAUUUCAUUUUAAUGAUCUGAAAAUAAACAAAAAUUAACUAAAAAACAACAAAAUAGAUUCCAAAAUUUAAAAACGCAAUAAAUUGCAAAAUUAAAAAAAAUGGCGGGAACUUAGUUGCCAACCUAAUAUAUCUUUUAAGUUAAAUAAAUUUAAAAUUCUUCCAGAUUAUUAUGCAUGUUUUUUAUGUUGCUCUCAUCUUUAUUCUUUAGAUUAUCUUGAAACUGGACUGUUUGCUGAGAUGGUGGAAAACAUGCCAUAAACUACAUAAAUACGAAGAAAAAUGGAAAAACAUCAUCAUUCAAGAAAUCUUGUCUGCAUUUAAGUGAGAAAUGAAAACUAUUAAUUUAUAAAAUUUAAUUUAUAUUCAUCCGCAUUUCCCUACAAGUACAUACAUAUGCAUACAUACAUAAGUGUGUGAGUGUGAUAUAUAUAUAUAUAUAUAUAUAUAUGUACAUAUGUAUACACACACAUAUAUAAUAAUAAUAAUAGGUCUGCAUGAUUUACUCUGACAUGACAUGGCAUCAUCUACAUUGAAUUCUCAACCAUGGACAAGCCAAAGCAAUUCAGGGAUUCCAAGUCAAUGGAAAGUCUGUGUUGUCUGCAAAAAAACUGGACAUUUCAAGUCUCCAAAGGAGUUCUGUUAUCAUCUGCGGAGUUUUCAUUGUUCCAAAGAAGGUGGAUCUUACGUUUGUCGAUAUGGUGUAAAUGAGGUGUGCCCUUCCUUACCCCUAGAAGGUGUAAGUGACAAAGACUAUGAAGAUCAUGUUGUCCGGGACCAUGUCUAUGCUGGAUCAGGUAUGUGUGUUAUGCACUGUAUUACAGGUGAAAUUUC